UAGGGAAUAUUGGACAAUGGGGGCAACCCUGAUCCAGCCAUGCCGCGUGAGUGAAGAAGGCCCUCGGGUUGUAAAGCUCUUUUGUCCGGAAAGAAAAGCAUUCGGUGAAUACCCGGAUGUUCUGACGGUACCGGAAGAAUAAGCACCGGCUAACUUCGUGCCAGCAGCCGCGGUAAUACGAAGGGUGCAAGCGUUACUCGGAAUUACUGGGCGUAAAGCGUGCGUAGGUGGUUGUUUAAGUCUGAUGUGAAAGCCCUGGGCUCAACCUGGGAAUGGCAUGGGAAACUGGGCAGCUAGAGUGCGGUAGAGGGUAGUGGAAGUCCCGGUGUAGCAGUGAAAUGCGUAGAGAUCGGGAGGAACAUCUGUGGCGAAGGCGACUGCCUGGACCAGCACUGACACUGAGGCACGAAAGCGUGGGGAGCAAACA
rnacentral:rRNA from 1 species